UGUGUGUUAGUGGAAGCGUCUGGAAAGGCGCGCGAUACAGGGUGACAGCCCCGUACACAAAAAUGCACAUGCUGUGAGCUCGAUGAGUAGGGCGGGACACGUGGUAUCCUGUCUGAAUAUGGGGGGACCAUCCUCCAAGGCUAAAUACUCCUGACUGACCGAUAGUGAACCAGUACCGUGAGGGAAAGGCGAAAAGAACCCCGGCGAGGGGAGUGAAAAAGAACCUGAAACCGUGUACGUACAAGCAGUGGGAGCCUCUUUAUGGGGUGACUGCGUACCUUUUGUAUAAUGGGUCAGCGACUUAUAUUCUGUAGCAAGGUUAACCGAAUAGGGGAGCCGAAGGGAAACCGAGUCUUAACUGGGCGUUAAGUUGCAGGGUAUAGACCCGAAACCCGGUGAUCUAGCCAUGGGCAGGUUGAAGGUUGGGUAACACUAACUGGAGGACCGAACCGACUAAUGUUGAAAAAUUAGCGGAUGACUUGUGGCUGGGGGUGAAAGGCCAAUCAAACCGGGAGAUAGCUGGUUCUCCCCGAAAGCUAUUUAGGUAGCGCCUCGUGAA
rnacentral:rRNA from 1 species